ACCUGGGCUUCCAUUUCACGAUCGGAGAGGCCGCCGCAAAGCUGGAUGAUACGGUCAGACAGCGUCGAUUUACCGUGGUCGAUGUGCGCAAUGAUGGAGAAGUUACGUAUAUUCUUCAUAUGUAAGGAUGUUUUAACUCGCGUUUUUAUCGUAAUUCAUUUGAUGGACACGGCAGAGGACCCACACCCCAGCCUACCGUUCCGUACAUUGCCGAGCAUCUUACACUGUAGCGACAUGGCAGUCAGUAAGGAUCCAUUUAUUAACAUAAAACCUUACAACACCGGCAUAAAAACCCGCCCAAGCGGGUUUCGUACAGUCAGUGUUGAUAUUAAGCAGCUUUAGGCGAAAACUUUCUUGUAAGCUGCUGAUUAACCUGAAUAUCAAAAUCAGUAAAAAGUGCUACUGGCUUUACACCGUGCCCCUGCUUUUCUAAACGCACAAAUCCCCUUGAACUUAAGGUCUUUAGCGUAACCGAUAGGUUGCUUUUUUUUCUGCCUGACAUCUCAGCGAGCUCAGUAAUGCUCUCCGGCUUAUGCUCUUCAAUGAGUCUUAAAAGUGCAAUAUUCUCAUUACUCAGCACCUGUGCCAGAGCAUUCAUUGAUGUAAACCAUACCCUGGGCUCAUCGGGUUCUGGCUUAUACUCACCUUUGGCUAUAGCAAGCAUCCUGAAACGGAUGUGCUCUUCAGGCAUAACACCAAUUAACGCUUUCAUGUGUUAACCUCUGUUCUCUCGUAUUGCGAUGACUUCAUCCACACGGUUGAAAAAGUCUUCGAUAAGCUGGCCUGCCGAUACAUAUUCAUAAGGGUGGCCUUUAUCAUGCGGUGUGCGAUGCAGUACUAGAGUUAUGAUCGGAUCAUAACUCUAAAUGCAGGGAAGUCAAAUGGUGAUAAACAGGAAGUUAACUAGAUAAAGCGCAGUACGAUAGCGUAAGGAUUAACGCGACUGAGAGUUGGCGUCUACGGGCGUGGCAUCGACCCGCAGCAGAUCCGGCGGCAGGGCAACGCUCAGGAUCACUGGCUGCCAGGCUUCACGAGCGGCCAGCUUGGGCGAAAACGCGCGGGCCAGCAGAAAGCCCCCGACGCCGCCCAAUACCGCGCCGCCCAUCGCCGCCAGGUCGUAACCAAACAGCGUCUGAAACAGCGCGGCCAUCACAAACAGCCCCACCAGCGGCGACAUAUAGACCAGCAGCGCGGAACUGAGCAGGCUGCCUUCGGCAAUGCCCAGCUCGACCUUCUGCCCAGCCACCAGCGGCUGCUCGCUGGGUACGGAAAUGGUGUGGGUCAUCUGCGGGCCCAGCUUAUUCAGAACGCGGCUGCCGCACCCUGCGCGCGAAGCACAGCUGUUACAGGAGGCUUUAACAUCACAGCUGACAACGGCUUCGCCAUUGUGCCAUGAGACCACGGUUGCCCACUCUUUGAUCAUUGUGCUGCCCUGAAUUUAAGACUGUCUGCAAUACGU
rnacentral:ncRNA from 1 species